AUUCCAAAAUCUUUAUUAGGCUAAACAAGAAGGCCAAGAAAUUAAGCUUUUAUUGGACUAACAAUGAAAUCAAGAUACAGCUUUUGACAUUAUUCUUGUGGCCAACAUGGCUACUUGUGCUUCUUUUAGAACACAAAUAUUUGUACAUAUAGUCAGCUUUUCCUUUCUGUGGGUUUGCUCUCUGCAGAUUGGAGCAUCUGUGGAUGGCCCUGCCCCAUUCUCUUCCAAUGGCAGUGCAUGCAAGCAGCCAUGCCAACAUGGUCAUGCACACAUCAUACACCACCUUUAUGCAGGCUUGCCACCCACAAAUCGAAGCAUCUGUGGAUGACCCUGCCCAGUUCUCUUCAGUGGUGCUGCAUGCAAGUGGCCAUGCUAACAAGGUCAUAUGCACAUUGCACACCAUUGAUGAGAAUAGGACCUGAGGUCCCAUGGAAUUUGUCAUCAGCGGUGAGUGUAUUUAGAACAGAACAGGAUCUCCACGAUACAAAGGGCUAACUCUAUUCAGUCUUUUUUACAAUUGCUGAUGCUUUCUGAUGUACUGAUUUAUUAUGUAUAUAGUUUUAAAUGGUGAUAAGUUGUUAAAUAAAUAAAAUAUAUAACUGAUGACGACUCAGACACAGUGGCUAGAAUCCAAAGAGUGCAUCCCACACUUAGACAAGUGUUGGUGGAUUACAUUGGAAGCUACCUUGUAAGGUUGUCUGAUAUUCCUGGAACAGUGUUUUUCCAGUGUAGAAUAGAAGGCUAUAAAGCAGUGAUUCUCAACCUUCCUAAUGGCGCGACCCUUUAAUACAGUUCCUCAUGUUGUGGUGACUCCCAACCAUUUCCUGGACUUUGUCUUGGUUCCUAAGACCAUAGGAAAUAAGUAAGGGAGAGAGUUCUCAGAUUGGUGCCCAUCCAAGAAUAAUACCACCAAGACUACUCAGACUGUGUUAAUUUGUUGAUCGUUAGUCACUUGCAACUUUGUGUUUCUUUUCAGGAGCUUGUGCCUUUAUGUUACAGGUGUUCCACCCACAACCCUUUGCUGAACAACCUCGGAAAUGUCUGUAUUAACUGUAGGCAGCCCUUUGUCUUUGCAGCUUCAUCUUACGACAUCUUGCACUUGGUUGAGUUCUAUUUAGAGGAAGAGAUCACUGACGAAGAAGCAGUUGCUCUAAUUGACCUGGAAGUACCAAGACGAAACAAAAGAGAUAGUAAAUGGCAAGAACAGAUGAGUAACGGUGCACAGACAAUGACAAUUCUUUACAAAGCUGAGGAGCUUGAAGAGGAUGAUCCAUUUACAGCAAAAUUGAGUUUUGAGGUUAGAAUCCUUCACUUGGCUAUUUUCUUUGUGCUGCUAAUGAAUUACAGGGGACCAGUCCCUACAGCCAGAUGUCAUAUGUCCACCCUGGAAAUAUUUCAAAAUUUUGUGAAUUCUUUCCCUUUUGUUACAACAUUGCUUUGAGUUUUCUGGCCAUUUUAUUUUUUUGAUCCCCUGCUGCUCUUGAUGCAGCAUGAGACCAAGUUAAAGAAUGUCUGUUUCAUAAGAAGAUUGGAUGACUUGUACUCAACCUGAUCAGUUAGAAUGACAUGAAAAUAUCAUGUCAAGUGGCUAAAACUCCAAGGAGACUCCUGAAAAUCACUCAAAGCAGAUCUUAAAACACAGCGAUUAAAAUGGACCAGCAUUUUGGAUAUUAAGUUUUCUGUUUUCUUUUAAUUUUAAGAGAUUCCUACACAAGUUUUUCCCAACUUGAAAGCAUUUCAAAACACUUCUUGGGAAAGAAGGUAGCCAUUUGAUGUCAGUGCCAAUUGCAGCAACUGUUGCAAUAGCCUUGGGCCCAGCCAGUGUCACUGAGCUGCACUGUGCCAUGUCUAGUGCUAGGCUGGAUCCCAUAUUCACACCUCUCUACCUGCUGCCAUACUGACCUAUAUGACAAUAUUAUUUCAGAGUAUAACACCAUUUUAUUGUUCUAGAGGUCUUGGCUGUAAAAGUCACAAAGCGACCAAUUUCUUAGGACAGCAGCUUUCAAAAUUAGCCAGUCAAAGUCAGUCUUUAAAGUCAGUCCUGUUGGGCUAUAGAAUCACAAGGAAAAUGUACAAUGUGGGUUUUAAUAGUAACCAGGCAUUAAAGGGUUACUGUGAGCCAUAAUGAUUGGGCAUUUAAAGAGAAAGUGACAUCAAAAAGAUAGUCAGAAAGUGCUGUAAAGUCCUGCAGAAUGCUGCCAGUUUGAGAAGUCUAUCAGGCAGGGAGGCUGGGUUCUUUGUGAGACCAGAGGGAGAGGCAAAGCCUAGCAGGCCUCACGGAGCCUUUGCUAGAGUAGUGACGAGUGAGUUGUUACUAGUGUGGAUGGUGUUGAAGUAUAUAUUGUUGCACACAGUGGAACUUCUUCUAAGA